rnacentral:rRNA from 1 species
ACAACGGGUGAGCCUGCGGUUUAAUUGGACGUCAACGCCGGGCAGCUCACCGGAUAAGACAGCUGGAUGAUAGCCGGGCUGAAGACUCUGCUUGACUAGCUGAGAGGAGGUUGCAUGGCCGUCGUCAGUUCGUACUGUGAAGCAUCCUGUUAAGUCAGGCAACGAGCGAGACCCACGCCAACAGUUGCCAGCAUGUCCUCCGGGAUGAUGGGGACACUGUUGGGACCGCCUCUACUAAAGAGGAGGAAGGAAUGGGGCAACGGUAGGUCAGCAUGCCCCGAAUUAUCCGGGCUACACGCGGGCUACAAUGGUCAGGACAAUGGGUAUCGACACCGAGAGGUGGAGGCAAUCUCCUAAACCUGUCCUUAGUUCGGAUUGUGGGCUGCAACUCGCCCACAUGAAGCUGGAAUCUGUAGUAAUCGUGUCUCAAAAUGGCACGGUGAAUAUGUCCCUGCUCCUU